rnacentral:rRNA from 1 species
GWUUMMGCCCMACUUGGAACUGAGAACCAGCUCAGAUCCUACGGAGACAGCAUUGGAAUUGGCAAUGGCUARCUGAUCAGCAUGCGCUGAUAUGAGUCUAGGGUKUAAGCUCUUUACCCAGGAUGAUAUGACAGUACUGGAGAUAGCUCAGCUACUCCGUGCCAGCAGCGCGUAUACGAGGAGCUAGCGUAUUCGGAAUUACUGGGCGUAAAGCGCACGUAGGCGGCUUGUAAGUUAGAGKGAAAGCCUGGAGCUCAACUCCAGAAUUGCCUUUAAGACUGCAUCGCUUGAAUCCAGGAGAGGUGAGUGGAAUUCCGAGUGUAGAGGUGAAAUUCGUAGAUAUUCGGAAGAACACCAGUGGCGAAGGCGGCUCACUGGACUGGUAUUGACGCUGAGGUGCGAAAGCGUGGGGAGCAAACAGGAUUAGAUACCCUGGUAGUGCACGCCGUAAACGAUGAUAACUAGCUGUCGGGGCUCUUAGAGCUUCGGUGGCGCAGCUAACGCAUUAAGUUAUCCGCCUGGGGAGUACGGCCGCAAGGUUAAAACUCAAAUGAAUUGACGGGGACCCGCACAAGUGGUGGAGCAUGUGGUUUAAUUCGAAGAUACACGAAGAACCUUACCUGGCCUUGACAUCCCAAGAACUUUCCAGAGAUGGAUUGGUGCUAGCUUGCUAGAACUUGGUGACAGGUGCUGCACGGCUGUCGUCAGCUCGUGUCGUGAGAUGUUGGGUUAAGUCCCGCAACGAGCGCAACCCUCGUCUUUAGUUGCUAACAGUUAGGCUGAGCACUCUAAAGAGACUGCCUCCGUAAGGAGGAGGAAGGUGAGGACGACGUCAAGUCAUCAUGGCCCUUACGGCCAGGGCUACACACGUGCUACAAUGGGGCGUACAGAGAGCUGCAAUACCGCGAGGUGGAGCCAAUCUCUUAAAGCGUCUCUCAGUUCGGAUUGUUCUCUGCAACUCGAGAACAUGAAGCUGGAAUCACUAGUAAUCGCAGAUCAGCUAUGCUGCGGUGAAUACGUUCCCGGGUCUUGUACUCACCGCCCGUCACACCAUGGGAGUUGAUUUCACCCGAAAUCGGGAUGCCAAACUGGCUACCGYWUACGGUGGAAUUAGCGACUGGGGUGAAGUCGUAACAAGGUAACCGU